UGGGGAAUUUUGGACAAUGGGGGAAACCCUGAUCCAGCCAUCCCGCGUGUGCGAUGAAGGCCUUCGGGUUGUAAAGCACUUUUGGCAGGAAAGAAACGUCGCGGGUUAAUACCCCGCGAAACUGACGGUACCUGCAGAAUAAGCACCGGCUAACUACGUGCCAGCAGCCGCGGUAAUACGUAGGGUGCAAGCGUUAAUCGGAAUUACUGGGCGUAAAGCGUGCGCAGGCGGUUCGGAAAGAAAGAUGUGAAAUCCCAGAGCUUAACUUUGGAACUGCAUUUUUAACUACCGGGCUAGAGUGUGUCAGAGGGAGGUGGAAUUCCGCGUGUAGCAGUGAAAUGCGUAGAUAUGCGGAGGAACACCGAUGGCGAAGGCAGCCUCCUGGGAUAACACUGACGCUCAUGCACGAAAGCGUGGGGAGCAAACAGGAUUAGAUACCCUGGUAGUCCACGCCCUAAACGAUGUCAACUAGCUGUUGGGGCCUUCGGGCCUUGGUAGCGCAGCUAACGCGUGAAGUUGACCGCCUGGGGAGUACGGUCGCAAGAUUAAAACUCAAAUGAAUUGACGGGGGUCAUAGCUGUUUCCU
rnacentral:rRNA from 1 species